rnacentral:lncRNA from 1 species
CGAGCUCGCAGAGGCAGCGGCGGCGGCGGCGGAGACGGAGAGAGGCAGGCAGGCAGGGCGAGGGCGAGAGACGGAGGGAGGGAGCGAGCGAGGCGGACCAGACAGACAGACAGGCGGGCAGGCGGGCAGGCAGAGCGAGCCACCCGCCAGGCUGCGCUCAACCCCGCGCGCAGCGAAAAAGAGCAGAAGGCAGGAGGAGGGAGGGGAGGAGGGAGGAGGGAGGGAGAGGGAAUCCAGCUACCACCACCCAAAGCCAGCGUCUGCUUUCUGUCCUCAUUUCCUUUUCCCACCCAGCUCGGAGAGCAGAGAAAGGCAGAGAGAGCGAGAAAUAGAGACAGGCAGGCAAACAGACAGACAGACAGAACGGGAGGGAGGAGGGCGGCGGAGGAGGAACAGGAGGACUACGCGGGGCGCGUUCCCUCCCAGCCGUGCGCCCGCGUCGCUGCCGCCGCGGGAAGACAGACGCCCCCCAAAGCCCCUCGCCUGGCUCGGACUCACGGAGCCAGCAGCCCAGCACUCCGAUGGGAGCUUGCCUGAUUGUCUACCCAUCAACCUGGACCCCAGAGCCUGCCCAGCUGAGUGUGUGCAGAGGGUCCCAGGUGAGGGGCGCUGCUCAGGCCUCUGCAGAGACCACCCUGGAGACACUGACAGAGAGAGGCCUUUCCUACUGAGCCUGGCCUCUCUGCACAGCCUGUUCAGAAAGAAGAACUGAGGCUCAUGGAUAUACACUAAGCCCCCCUCCCCCAAUCCUGCCACCUAGCCUGAGGACUCUUCCCUGCACCUUGAUAACCUGAGAGAACUGGGAGGAGAAAGGGGUUGUGACAAUGACCAGGACUCAGGGCAGAGGUGGAAACAAGUGUGCCUGAUGUAUGCAGCUGAUCCCCCAGGACAUCUCUCUACUGGAGUCUGGAAGCAGAGAGCUGGGAGGCCAAGGAUUGGUAUGAAGAAUUAAAUGAAGCGAUGCCUGGACAGCUUCCAGCCCAUUGCCCGGUGCACAGUAGGUGCUCACUAAACCUGAGCUGCGAUGGUCCUUUCCAG